UACGUAGGGUGCAAGCGUUAAUCGGAAUUACUGGGCGUAAAGCGUGCGCAGGCGGUUGUGCAAGACAGAUGUGAAAUCCCCGGGCUUAACCUGGGAACUGCAUUUGUGACUGCACAGCUGGAGUGCGGCAGAGGGGGAUGGAAUUCCGCGUGUAGCAGUGAAAUGCGUAGAGAUGUGGAGGAACACCGAUGGCGAAGGCAGCCCCCUGGGCCUAUACUGAUGCUCAUGCACGAAAGCGUGGGGAGCAAACAGG
rnacentral:rRNA from 1 species